rnacentral:misc_RNA from 1 species
GAAAUGCGAUAAGUAAUGUGAAUUGCAGAAUUCAGUGAAUCAUCGAAUCUUUGAACGCACCUUGCGCUCCUUGGUAUUCCUUGGAGCAUGCCUGUUUGAGUAUCAUGAAAUCUUCAAAGUAAAUCUUUUGUUAACUCAAUUGGUUUCUACUUUGGUAUUGGAGGUCUUUGCAGCUUCACACCUGCUCCUCUUUGUUCAUUAGCUGGAUCUCAGUGUUAUGCUUGGUUCCACUCGGCGUGAUAAGUUAUCUAUCGCUGAGGACACUGUAAAAGGUGGCCAAGGUAAAUGCAGAUGAACCGCUUCUAAUAGUCCAUUGACUUGGACAAUACUUUUAUCAUCUGAUCUCAAAUCAGGUAGGACUACCCGCUGAACUUAAGC